UAUACAUGCAAGUCGAGGGAGAUUGUUGGAUUCGUCUGACAUGAAACCGGCGCACGGGUGCGUAACACGUAUGCAACCUACCUUUAACUGGGGUAUAGCUCAGAGAAAUCUGAAUUAAUCCCCCAUAAGACUACGACAUGGCAUCAUGAUGUAGUUAAAGCUCCGGCGGUUAAGGAUGGGCAUGCGGUACAUUAGCUAGUUGGUGAGGUAAUGGCUCACCAAGGCUACGAUGUAUAGGGGGUCUGAGAGGAUGAUCCCCCACACUGGUACUGAGACACGGACCAGACUCCUACGGGAGGCAGCAGUAGGGAAUAUUGGUCAAUGGACGCAAGUCUGAACCAGCCAUGCCGCGUGAAGGAUGAAGGCCCUCUGGGUCGUAAACUUCUUUUAUUAGGGAAGAAAACAUGGGAUGCGUCCCAAACUGACGGUACUUAAUGAAUAAGGAUCGGCUAACUUCGUGCCAGCAGCCGCGGUAAGACGAAGGAUCCAAGCGUUGUCCGGAUUUACUGGGUUUAAAGGGUGCGUAGGCGGAAAAUUAAGUCAGUGGUGAAAGCCCGCAGCUCAACUGUGGAACUGCCAUUGAAACUGAUUUUCUUGAAUAUAGCUGAGGCAGAUGGAAUAUAACAUGUAGCGGUGAAAUGCUUAGAUAUGUUAUAGAACACCGAUUGCGAAGGCAGUCUGCUAAACUAUUAUUGACGCUGAGGCACGAAAGCGUGGGGAGCGAACAGGAUUAGAUACCCUGGUAGUCCACGCCCUAAACGUUGAUUACUCGCUGUUGGCGAUAUACUGUCAGUGGCUAAGCGAAAGCGUUAAGUAAUCCACCUGGGAAGUACGACCGCAAGGUUGAAACUCAAAGGAAUUGACGGGGGCCCGCACAAGCGGAGGAGCAUGUGGUUUAAUUCGAUGAUACGCGAGAA
rnacentral:rRNA from 1 species